CACAGCAGGGCUCGUCGCGGUGACCCACAGCGAGCUCGGUCACCUUCCCAGCAGCCUGUCCUUGAAUCCUGUUUCACAGAGAACCCCAAGCUGAGUGGACGUGGAUGAAGCCACACGACCUGGAGACGACUCUGCCCAGGCCAGAGCCAGACUCCGGCCUCUCUCCCGAGGCCCAGAAGCCCUUCAUCCCCUCAGGCACGGCUGAUUGCUUCUCAAGUCUCUCGAGGUGCUGGAAUCCUGGCGUGGCUUCUGAAAGCGCGGACCUUCCGACCAUCCUCUGCCCCUUUUGGAAGCCGAAGGGCCCGCGGAGUCCCAGCCUGUGCCCCAAUCCCUGCACGGACACAUCGUCCCUGUGGCUUCAGCUGGCAGGCACGGUCUUCUGUGGCCACUCCGGCCAGGCCAAGCCGGGAGGAGUCCACGGAGGCUAAGGAAGUAUGUCACUGAUCCGCGGUCACAAGGGACAGCCCUGAGACCCCUAUUGAGCGCUGGCCAGGAGGCGACCGCCCCCUGGUGGGCGGAAAUUCUCGAAGCCGGAGGACUGGAGCCUGGGAGAGUAGACACGGCAAACCAGGACCACGCACACGCUGUCCUUCCUGCCCGUACUGCCCCUGAUGAGUCUGGCCGACUACAUACUCGCACCUAAGUGUUUCCUGGAGCAGGUUACUUCUCUCAAGCACACUCCCUGAUCAGAGGCACGGUCACCAGAGGACCAUGGCAGUCGCCCUGUCCUGGCCUCCCUGCUUUCACCUUGGCCCACGCCUGCAGUUGGCAGGUAUACGCUGAGAACUAUGGUCAGAACACGGUCUCCACUGCUCGUCUCGCUCCAACGGAUCCUGGCUAGUUUCCGUACUUCGCCCCAUUCUCCCUGCUCCCCAAGCACAUUCCCUGGGCCGCUUCGUCCCGGGGCUGCCCGGCUUGCAGAUCUUCACCGGCUUCACCCCUUCCCCCAUCUCUGUCUCCCAAACUCAGCCUGUGCCUCCCGCUUGCAUCCAGACCCAGUUCCCCUAAGGCACCGGGUGCCCCGAGGCAGGGGCUUCGCCAGAAUGAGUGGUUCUCAACCAGGGGCCAUUCUGCAGUGUCUGGAGUGGCCGGGAAGGGUCUUGGAAGUCCAAAACCCCAUGAGAAGGAAAGAAACUGAGUUAGACCUGUGAGCAAAGAGGUGGCCUUGGCCAAUGGGCAGAGCCAGGCCAACCUGGGCAAGAGUCAGGUCUCCAGUUUUGCCUCCCCAACCUGCUGGGCAGGGAGCCAGGGACAGAUGGGGCAGGAGGAAGGCUUGGGCUGACUCCCCCCGCCCCCGCCUUUCCCCUGCUUGCCUGGGACCCACGCACACCAGGAGUCCUUGGCGAAGUCCCCCAUGGGGCAGGAAGGGCAGACACCCCAGAGCAGAUGGGCAGGUAAGGGUAGUACCCGGAAGGAACGCAGUUCUCGGCCCCAGCCAGUCUGCUCCCCACACUCUGUGCUGCGUAGGCCUCAGAAGCAGUGCCCUCCUCACCCUCCUUUGACUAAACACCAUUUUAAAGAAGCUGCUCCGGUCACUUUAGGUGAAACGGAGUGUGUAUGUGUACAGGGGGGAGUGGUAGUCACAAGCUUUCGUGGCAACCUGAACUUUUUCCGUGUUGAGUUUUUCCCAACAGUAAUGAAGUCACUGUGUGAUUAUUUGUUUUAAAAAGCAAAUGUCGGGGUGCCCGGGUGGCUCAGUCGGUUAAGCACCGGACUUUGGCUCAGGUCAUGACCUUAGUUUGUGAGUUCGAG